rnacentral:rRNA from 1 species
UACAGAGGUCUCAAGCGUUGUUCGGAUUCAUUGGGCGUAAAGGGUGUGUAGGUGGCGCGCUAAGUCGGAUGUGAAAUCCCCAGGCUUAACCUGGGAACUGCAUCCGAUACUGGAUGGCUUGAAUCCGGGAGAGGGAUGCAGAAUUCCAGGUGUAGCGGUGAAAUGCGUAGAUAUCUGGAGGAAUACCGGUGGCGAAGGCGGCAUCCUGGACCGGCAUUGACGCUGAGGAGCGAAAGCUAGGGGAGCAAACGGG